rnacentral:lncRNA from 1 species
UCAAAAUGAAUUCUGACUGGGUUGCUGAGUUACAAUGGUGGUAGGGACGGUUCGUUCGACCUCAAGCGAGCCUCCCUCUAAUGUUCAAGCAUAUAGAGGGAAAGUGUGUCCAAAGUAGACGCGGUUGAUGCGUGUCCUCGCGUGUCAGGGGAGGGGUUAGAGCCAUCAGGAUGGCAAAGGAUGGCUAGUGGCUGUGUGGGAAGGGUCGAGAUAGGGUUGUUUCAUUUCGACAAGUUAGCAUGAGCGAGGGGUAUGAAACAGUGGAGGAACUUGCAAGAGAGUGAAAGAGAUGGAGGAAGAACAUAAAUUGUAAGAGGUAGGAGAAACAACCACGGAUUUUUUUUAAAACGAAACAACUACACAGACUUUAUUUAUUUAGGUUCACUGGAUUAAAAUUGAAAUUGUAGAAAGGGGUGACCUCUUUCCUUUGGGCUCUAACUUCUUUAAGACUUGAGCACUAGACCUAGAUCUCGCUCCCCAUUCUCCACGUUACCCGGGCAAGUCAAAUUUACCAGGGAUAGACUAAUG